rnacentral:rRNA from 1 species
AUGUCCGGAUCUAGCUCCCAAGGCAGGUGGACGGCCUCCUCGGUCACCGAGGAAGAUAUCAUGAAGCUCCGGGAGGCGAGGUACCUGACUACGGAAAUCCCCCAUAGGCUCCCUGCCAAGGGGCAGGUUAUCCCCACACCAAAAUCCUGCGAGAGGGUUGUAUUCAUCUCUCACUUCCUCCACGAGCUAGGGUUCGCUCUCCACCCCUUCGUUCGUGGCCUUAUGUUCUAUUAUGUGCUAGAUUUUCACGAUCUAGCUUCGGACUCCUUUCUCCACAUCUCGGCGUUUAUCGUCAUGUGUGAGGCUUUUCUCCGCAUCCCCCCACACUUUGCCCUAUGGCUCAAGACCUUCAAUGUGAAGACGAAGAUAGUCGACGGGGAGCAGGCGGAGUGCGGCGGUGCUAUGGUGAGCAAGCUCGCCAAUACUAUCUGGCCAAAAGGUACCUUCACGGAAACCUCCAACUUAUGGCAGCUGGAGUGA